UCAAGUCCAAGAUGUGGAGGU
rnacentral:siRNA from 1 species